UGAAGGCUUCAUAUUUGUGAUGUACUCCAUCUUCAAGCUGAUUAUAGUGGUAAACACUUGAAUCCUAAUCUUAAAACUCAUCAUGUUCAUCAUACUCAUCGUCCCUUGAAGGUGUACGGCCGCACACCUUCAUAUGGGAGCAGCACACAUUCAAAACUCCCAAGUAUGAGGAGCAAACACUUCAAAAAUCAUAAUAUGGACUAAAAUGAGGAGUGUACGACCGCACACUCCUGUGUACGGCCGCACACUCUUGUGUGCAGCCUCACACACACUCCUGGCCGCACUCCCCAUCCGCACACUCAUUUCCAAGGCCAUACACCCACUCUAAUGCCCAUAUUUGGCCCUAAACUUGCAUAAAUCAUUAAGUUUGGAUCAUGAGACACUUAUUCUUAGUAAUUCCAAGCCCUAAGGAUGUUUUCCCAUCAUGUUUAGUCAUGAAACACCUUAGUUCUAACUCAUUUAUGUGUCAUCGCAUGAAUAAUAGGGGCCAUUGGCGUUCAGGGCAUCCGUUGACAUUCGAACCCUACGUUAAGCUAUGAGUUCAUACCCCUACUCCUUUUUCCGUGUUUUUCAAUGUUUUCAAGGGUGGGAAUAGAAGCAAGGGUACAAGGGAAUUUGUACUCAAAACUUAUUAUUUCGUAUGAAAUGUUUUCAUGACAUAUAUCCUUUUAACACUGGAGAUCUUAACAGGCAACCGUUUGAACUUGCAGAACUUAUUAUCAGAUUAUUUGUGAAUCACAUUAUAAAAUGCUAUGUUUUAUAUUUCACAAAUGGUUUUCCACAUUAUAACAGUUAAAAGCAUUAACCUUAGAACUUCGAACUUGAAACUUGGAACUUGAACCGUCCUUGGUAACACUCCACCGAGAUACGAGAGUGAAGGACACGUCCUUGGUAACACUCCACCGAGAUACGAGAGUGAAUGACUACUUUUAAAAUUCAUUAAUCUUAACGAUUGGAGACACGUCCUUGGUAAAACUCCACCGAGAUACGAGAGUGUAGGACUACCCCUGUAACCAGAAUCUCCUGGAGGGAGAACGUGACUUGAGUGUAUAGAUAUAUACGGGAUUGACUACCCCGCACCUGGCUGCUAGCUACAGUCGAACCGAAAGGUUCAAGGGUGACAAAAGUCAUAAAACGAUACUGGCCACGUUUCGAGCCUUAUCUAGUCUUUAGUAUUGUUAUAGAACUCGCAAUCUAGAUUAUGAAAACUUUGAUACUUACUUAUUAGUUUUAUAUUCGUGUUAAAACUAAUACGCUUUACAAGGAUAACUGUGUUUUCAGAACAUAACUUUUGCAGUAAACAAACUUUCAGGAAAACAAGGGUUUUUCCUGGGAUAACAGAACUUUUCAUAACUACAUUUGUGUAACAAAUGGAUAACUCAACUUUUCUUCUAAGAAAAUAUGGGAUUUUCUUGGAUUCAUAACAUGUACAGAAACCAAAGGAAACCUGUUCAUUUUCAGAAAACAAAACUGCUUAUGAACUCACCAGCUUUAUGCUAAUUUUCAAACUGCUUGUAUUCUCAGGUCCACAUUAGACAGGUACCCCGUGGUCUUUUGGAGAAGACGGAACGUGCAGAAGUCAUGUCUUUGCUUUUGUUCAUAUAUAUGUAUAACACUUGAUUUUCAAAUGCAUGUAAAUUUUCAUAUGUCUUUGCUUUUGUUCAUAUAUCUGUCAUAUCUCUUGAUUCAAUUCAGAGGACUUACCAUCCUCUCUUUCCUGAUCUUUUUAGACCAAGAUGCCUCCAAGAAAGAGACCCAGCUCAAAGAACAACAAUCCUCCGCCACCACCUCCUCCUCAAUUUGAUCCUGUGAUGUUCCAGGCAGCUGUUACUGCUGUAGUGGCAGCUGCUAUGUCUCAAAUGAACUCCGGUGGUUCAGGAGGUGGUACCCACACUCAAAACCAAGAAGGCAGUCAGGGACACCGGAAGGAGUGUUCCUAAAAAGACUUUAUGAAUGCGAAACCCACAUCUUUUGAUGGUAUUGGAGGUGUCAUUACCCUGACCCAAUGGUUCGAGAAAAUCGAAUCUAUUUUCGAGAUCUGUUCCUACUCUGAAUCCGAUAAGGUGAAGUUCGCCGCCUGCACUUUCACCGAUAAAGCCCUGACUUGGUGGAAUGGACGAGUCAAAUCCCUAACCCUACCUGUAGCUAAUGCUAUGGGUUGGGAGGCCAUGAAGGAAUUUCUACUAGCAUAGUACUGCCCUCGGGGCAAAAUGCAAAAGUUGGAGCAUGAAAUCUGGAACCUAAAGAUGAAGGGUUCUGAUAUUGUUGCUUACACUUCCAGAUUCGAUGAUUUGGCGCUACUCUGUCCGGGAUUGGUCACCCCGGAGAGCAAAAAGAUUGAGAGAUUCAUCUGGGGACUGACCCAACCGACCAAAGGGAAUGUCUUGGCUGCAAAGCCAGACACUUACGACAGCACCAAAUGCCUAGCGCAAGCUUUGGUCGACCACAGUGAUGACCAUGAGGAAGCAGCCACCACUCCUGAGUCGACCAAGAGGAGUGGUGAGAAAAGAAAUUUUUGGAACAAGCAGAAAAGCCAUCCUUCUCAAGGAUCCUCAAAGAAACAGCAAACUGUAGCUGUCCACGCUGCUACUAUCCCUACUGCUGCUGCUUCUACCGUGGGAUCCACAGCUCAAACACCUACCAAUAAGUAUGCUUGUACUCUUCGCCUGUGCAACAAGUGCAACUAUCAUCACCUCACUUCUAGCCCGUGUCGGAAGGUGCAUUGCAACAACUGUGGCAAGAAGGGUCACCUUACUCGAAACUGCAAGUCACCAGCCCAAUCAACAAAUCAAACUUCCGGAGCAGGUGUCGGUCAAGCCUGCUACAAUUGUGGGGAAGUCGGGCAUUUCAAGAGGAACUGCCCCAAGACGGCAACAACUGGUAAUACCGGUAGAGUCCUAGCCAUGUGAUGAGAGGAGGCAGUCGUCGAUCCCACCGUGGUCUCGGGUACGUUUCUUCUCGACAACUCUUAUGCUAGUAUCCUUUUUGAUUCGGGUGCCGAAAGAAGUUUUGUGAGCCAUUCAUUCAAGCAUAACCUCAAACAUAAUCCUCAACCAUUAACUGAAACAUUUACCGUUGAGAUGGCUAAUGGUGAGAAAGAAAGUGCUAGCGAUGUGUUUAUAGAUUGUACCCUUACCCUGAACGACCAUUCAUUCCCCAUCGAUCUUAUGCCAGUCUCCAUAAAGAGAUUUGAUGUUAUCAUUGGCAUGGAUUGGUUGAGUCCCAAUCAUGCUGAUAUCCUUUGUUACGAAAAAGCCAUCCGCCUCAAUCUUCCCUCUGGUCAGACUCUCAUGAUCUAUGGCGAUAAGCUUAGUUCCAAUCUUCGCAUCAUUUCCUACAUCAAACCUCAAAAGAUUCUGCGAAAGGAGUGCCAUGCAUUCCUAGAUCAUGUAAUCAACGAGAAGCAGGAAGUUAAAGGCCUCGAGAGCAUCCCCGAAGUCUGUAACUUUCAUGAUGUCUUUCCUGAAGAGCUUCUGGGAAUUCCUCCCGAACGUCAAGUUGAAUUUCGUAUCGAUCUAAUUCCUGGAGCUACCCCCGUAGCCAAGUCUCCAUAUCGCUUAGCUCGAGCAAAGAUGCAAGAGUUAUCCAGUCAGCUCAAUGAACUACUCAGCAAAGGGUUCAUCAGACCGAGUUCUUCACCCUGGGGAGCUCCGGUAUUGUUUGUUAAGAAGAAAGAUGGAUCCUUCCGGAUGUGUAUCGACUACCGUGAACUGAACAAGUUGACCGUCAAAAACCGAUAUCCUCUCCCUCGAAUAGAUGACCUCUUCGAUCAACUUCAAGGAGCCAGCUACUUCUCAAAGAUAGACCUUAGGUCAGGGUACCAUCAGCUACGAGUUCAUGAGAGUGAUGUUUCCAAAACAGCUUUCAGGACUCGGUAUGGACACUACGAGUUUGUAGUGAUGCCUUUCGGUCUAACCAACGCAACGGAAGUGUUCAUGGACCUGAUGAACCUGGUGUGUCGUCCUUUUCUGGACAAGUUUGUCAUUGUGUUCAUAGACGAUAUACUUGUUUAAUCCAGAAGCGAAGAGGAUCACAAACAACACUUGAAAUUAGUAUUGGAAACCCUUAGAUUUGAAAAGUUGUACGCGAAAUUAUCUAAGUGUGAAUUCUGGAUUCGGAAGGUAACCUUCCUUGGUCACGUGGUUAGUGAAGAGGGUAUUCACGUGGACCCUUCCAAGAUCAAAGCAAUAGAGAAUUGGUCGGCACCAAAUUCACCCACAGAAAUCCGUCAAUUCUUGGGUCUCGCCAACUAUUAUCGAAGAUUCAUCCAGAAUUUUUCCAGAAUCGCCAAGCCCUUAACUACUCUGACACAAAAAGGUGUACCCUUUUGUUGGAGUGAAAAGCAAGAAACUUCGUUCCAAACAUUAAAGCAAGCCUUGUGCAGCACACCUGUUCUGUGCCUACCCGAAGGGACGGAGGACUUCGUUGUCUAUUAUGAUGCGUCUAAUCAGGGCUUAGGCUGUGUGCUUAUGCAAAGAGGAAAAGUAAUUGCUUAUGCCUCGAGACAUUUAAAGGAACACGAGGUCAACUAUACCACGCACGACCUGGAGUUAGGAGCCGUGGUCUUAGCGCUGAAGAUUUGGAGACAUUAUCACUACGGAACCAAAUGUACAAUCUUCAUUGACCAUAAGAGCCUGCAGCACAUCUUCGAUCAGAAAUACUUAAACAUGAGGCAAUGGCGAUGGGUAGAGUUGCUCAGUGACUAUGAGUGCGAAAUCCGCUACCAUCCCGGCAAGGCCAAUGUGGUGGCAGAUGCCCUUAUCCGAAAGGAAAGUUCAAGCCGCAAGGUGAAGACAUUGACGAUGACUAUCCAUUCCCAUUUAUCCAUGCAAAUUCGAGAAGCCCAGUUAGAAGCCCUCAAGCCAGAGAACGUGUCAAGCGAAGCCUUGAGGGGAAUGGAUAAGAAACUUGAGAUCAGAGAUGACGGAGUCUACUGUUUCAUGGACCGAAUAUGGACCCCAAAGUUCGAAGAUUUCAGGGAGGUUGUCCUGGAGGAAGCACACAAGACCAGAUACACUGUUCACCUGGGUUCGGAUAAGAUGUACCUGGAUCUCAAGAAACAAUACUGGUGGCCAAACAUGAAAGCCAAGAUCGCUACAUUCGUGGGCAAGUGCCUAACUUGUGCCAAAGUGAAGGUCGAAUAUCAGAAACCCUCGGGUUUGCUCCAGCAGCCCGAGAUACCUGAGUGGAAAUGGGAGAUGAUUUCUAUGGAUUUCAUUACCAAGUUACCUAGGUGUCCGACUGGGUACGACACCAUUUGGUUAAUUUUUGAUCGUUUGAUAAAAUCCGCUCACUUCAUCCCGAUCAAAGAAUCAUUCAAGAUGGAAAGACUCACGCGAAUCUACAUCCAAGAAAUAGUCUGAUUGCAUGGUGUACCUGUGUCCAUUAUCUCCGAUUGAGAUAGCAGGUUUACAUCGAGGUUUUGGCAAUCUCUACAGAAGGCUCUUGAAACUAAACUAGACAUGAGCACGACUUAUCAUCCUCAGACAGAUGGACAGAGGAGAGAACUAUCCAAACUCUGGAAGACAUGUUGAGAUCAUGUUUCAUUGAUUUCGGAAAGUCGUGAGACACUCAUAUACCCUUGAUCGAGUUCUCGUAUAACAACAAUUACCACACCAGCAUCAAGGCUGCCCCAUUCGAAGCCCUCUACGGUCGCAAGUGCAGAUCCCCUCUGUGCUGGGCUGAGGUAGGGGACACGCAGCUAGCCAAAAGUCGAUUCCCCGACAGUGCUCUCACUGGUCCUUAAAUCAUCCGCGAAACCACCGAGAAGAUCAUCCAGAUCCGAGAACGACUGAAAGCUUCACGAGAUCGACAAAAGAGUUUCGCCGAUAUACGACAGAAACCUCUGGAAUUCCAGGUUGGAGAUCGUGUCUUAUUGAAGGUCUCUCCCUGGAAAGGCAUGGUACGCUUUGGAAGGCAUGGAAAACUUAAUCCGAGGUAUACAUGACCUUUCGAGAUCCUCGCUAGGAUCGGUCCUGUAGCCUAUAAACUCCGAUUACCCCGUGAGCUUAGUAACAUCCAUCCUGUUCUCCAUGUCUCUAAUCUUAAGAAGUGUUUGUCCGAUGAAACCCUCGUGAACCCUCUUGAUGAAAUCAAGAUCAACGAGAACCUGAACUUCGUGGAGGAACCAAUCGAAAUCAUGGAUCGAGAGAUCAAACGUAACAAACAAAAUCGCAUCCUGAUAGUGAAGGUUCGCUGGAACGCCAAGCGGGGACCGAAAUUCACUUGGGAGCGCGAAGACUUGAUGAAACAGAAAUACCCGCAUCUCUUUCCAAAUCCAUGAUUUCUAUCUUAAUUCUGAAUUUCGGGACGAAAUUCCCUCUAACGGGGGGAUAAUGUGACAACUCGAAACUUCUAACCUAUGUAUUUGAUCCACGUAUCAGCAUUAAAACUUGAAUUCAUUAUCUUUUAUUAAAUCUUGUGGUUCCAUAUGGGUGCUCCAGACUAAGUAUAAUCUAGAUACGAGUCUUAGGAAGGGUUGGAGAGUGUUUAGCAUCACAAAAUCCGGCCAAACUCAACAAAUAAGGUGUGUGCGGCCACACACCUGUGUGUACGGCCACACACCUGUGUGUACGGCCACACACCCAUGUGUGCAGCCACACACCCAAACGCAAACACUCCAUCCUCACACCCAACCCCAUAUAUGGAUGGAUACCCCUUCAUUCAUUCAUUUGGAUGUUCCUUUCCCUCUCUCUACUUUCUCUCUCUAAAAUCAUCAACCAAGAACACUUUGAAGGCUUCAUAUUUGUGAUCUACUCCAUCUUCAAGCUGAUUAUAGUGGUAAACACUUGAAUCCUAAGCUUAAAACUCAUCAUGUUCAUCAUACUCAUCGUCCCUUGAAGGUGUACGGCCGCACACCUUCAUAUGGGAGCAACACACAUUCAAAACUCCCAAGUAUGAGGAGCAAACACUUCAAAAAUCAUCAUAUGGACUAAAAUGAGGAGUGUACAGCCGCACACACCCUUUGUAUGGCCGCACACUCUUGUGUGCAGCCUCACACACACUCCUGGCCGCACUACCCAGCCGCACACUCAUUUCCAAGGCCAUACACCCACUCUAAUGCCCAUAUUUGGCCCUAAACUUGCAUAAAUCAUUAAGUUUGGAUCAUGAGACACUAAUUCUUAGUAAUUCCAAUCCCUAAGGAUGUUUUCCCAUCUUGUUUAGUCAUGAAACACCUUAGUUCUAACUGAUUUAUGUGUCAUCGCAUGAAUAAUAGGGGCCAUUGGCGUUCAAGGCAUCCGUUGACAUUCGAACCCUACGUUAAGCUGUGAGUUCAUACCCCUACUCCUUUUUCUGUGUUUUUCAAAGUUUUCAAGGGGGGGGGGAAUACAAGCAAGGGUACAAGGGAACUUGUACUCAAAACUUAUUAUUUCGUAUGAAAUGUUUUCAUGACAUAUAUCCUUUUAACACUGGAAAUCUUAACAGGCAACUGUUUGAACUUGCAGAACUUAUUAUCAGAUUAUUUGUGAAUCACAUUAUAAAAUGCUAUGUUUUAUAUUUCACAAAUGGUUUUCCACAUUAUAACAGUUAAAAGCAUUAACCUUAGAACUUCGAACUUGAAACUUGGAACUUGAACCGUCCUUGGUAACACUCCACCGAGAUACGAGAGUGAAGGACACGUCCUUGGUAACACUCCACCGAGAUACGAGAGUGAAGGACACGUCCUUGGUAACACUCCACCGAGAUACGAGAGUGAAUGACUACUUUUAAAAUUCAUUAAUCUUAACGAUUGGAGACACGUCCUUGGUAAAACUCCACCGAGAUACGAGAGUGUAGGACUACCCCUGUAACCAGAAUCUCCUGGAGGGAGA
rnacentral:lncRNA from 1 species